rnacentral:lncRNA from 1 species
GGCCAGGCUGUGAGGCUGAUGACACUAGAUGGUAGAAGAAGGGUAAUGCUCAACCGGGAGACCACUGCAUUUUUGGUUGUGUUCAGCCAGCUGGAAAACAAAUCUACACUUUACUGCAUUAGACAACCUUUGUGGAAAAGACAGAAACAUUUCUGGUAUGAGACUUUCCUCACCAAAGAAAACCCAGCAAGACAUUUAAUUAUAUCUACUCUAUCUUAUAGAGGAAAUAUGUAGCAAUAUAUUACAUGAAAAAAAAUUCACCGAGUGACCACAAAUUGAACUCUGAAGCGAGUCUGGAUCUACUGUAGAAGCCUGGGAGGUCUUUAUCCUCUUCUAUAUCAGCACCAGUCAUUGC